UACGUAGGCAGCAAGCGUUGUUCGGAAUUACUGGGCGUAAAGAGUGCGUAGGCGGUUAGGUAAGUCCGUUGUGAAAUCUCCCGGCUCAACUGGGAGGGUGCAGCGGAAACUGCCUGGCUAGAGUGUGGGAGAGGGAAGUGGAAUUCCUGGUGUAGCGGUGAAAUGCGUAAAUAUCAGGAGGAACACCUGCGGUGUAGACGGCUUCCUGGACCACUACUGACGCUGAGGCACGAAAGCGUGGGGAGCAAACAGG
rnacentral:rRNA from 1 species